GCAGAAGGAUCAUUAGUGAAGAUUUGGGCAGGCCAUACGGACGCCAAAAAGUGUCCCUGGCCGCCUACACCCACUAUACAUCCACAAACCCGUGUGCACUGUCUUGGAGAAAGGCUUCAGAGAAGUUUUUUGUGGCCUCUCUUGGGGUCUUUCUUCGCUACAAACUCGAAUGGUUAGUAUGGACGUGGAACUUGGUUGGACCGUCACUGGCCAACAAACUAUACACAACUUUCGACAACGGAUCUCUUGGUUCUCCCA
rnacentral:misc_RNA from 1 species